GCUCGUGGAUCGAUGAAGACCGCAGCUAAAUGCGCGUCAGAAUGUGAACUGCAGGACACAUGAACACCGACAAGUUGAACGCAUAUUGCACAUCGUACAACAGUACGAUGUACACAUUUUUGAGUGCCUAUAUUUAACUAUUCAACUGUGUUUGCUCUCCUCCUCGCGGGGAGAGGCAGGCACGCAGCAUGGUGUUUUGCUGCCUUCAGUGGCUGGCAAAACAUUUAAGAUACUCCCGGUUCGGGCUGCGACGACCGUCACUGGCGCGCGACACGACACGUGAGAAUACAUCCCACACACCAACCUGGCUUGGGCGCCGAUGUAGACUCUCUCUCACUCCGUUGUCAUCCGAUGUCGCGGUGCCGCGUACGCGUGCCCAUCUCAAGAACCACACACAGUUAUCCCAUGUAGGCCUCAAAUAAUGUGUGACUACCCCCUAAAUUUAAGCA
rnacentral:rRNA from 1 species